rnacentral:rRNA from 1 species
AAAACUUUCAACAACGGAUCUCUUGGUUCUGGCAU